GAUGAACGCUGGCGGCGUGCCUAAUACAUGCAAGUCGAACGGAGAGCUAGCAAUAGUUCUUAGUGGCGAACGGGUGAGUAACGCGUUGGUGACCUGCCCCGAAACGGGGGAUAACAGUUCGAAAGGACUGCUAAUACCCCAUGUGUUCUCGUGCGUUAGAGAAACGAGAGGAAACGGCGAAAGUCGCUUCGGGAGGGGCCUGCGUCCCAUCAGCUAGUUGGUAAGGUAACGGCUUACCAAGGCGAUGACGGGUAGGGGACCUGAGAGGGUGACCCCCCACAAUGGAACUGAAACACGGUCCAUACUCCUACGGGUGGCUG
rnacentral:rRNA from 1 species